GAACGAGCAUCGUGCUUGUGUUGACUGGCAUCAUUAUCACUAUCCUAUCCUCCCACUCAUGUUUCAUCAAUUCUUUACUUAUUUGGUGAAUAGAGAAAUGAGCUUCGACCCUUUUUUACCUGUCUUAAGUAAAGGUUUAUGGCAUUGCGCCACUCACCGAAGACUUUGUCAAGCAGGGAGUUUGACUGGAGCAGUACGUCUGUCAAAAACUGUAACGCAAGUGUCCUAAGGCUAGCUCUGAGAGCGCAGAAACCUUUUGUAGAGCAAGAUCGCAAAGGCUCUUUUGAUCUUGACUUUCAGUACGAGAGCAGGCGCCGAAAACGUGGCUUAUCGAUCCUUCUAAUCGAGGUAGUUUCCGGUGAGAGGUGUCAGAAAAGUUACCACAAGGGUUAUUGUCUUGUAGUAGCUAACGUCCAUAGCGACGUUGCUCUUUGAUCCUUCGAUGUCGGAUAGUUUUAUUGCUACAAAACAGACUUGCUAAGCGUUGAAUUAUUCAUCCACUGAUAGCAUACGUAAGCUGGGCUUAGACCUUCGUGAAACAGGUUAGUUUUAUC
rnacentral:ncRNA from 1 species